GUGCUCACUUUGGCAGCACAUAUACUAAAAUUGGAACAAUACAGAGAUUAGCAUGGCCCCUGUGCAAGGAUGACGCACAAAUUCGUGAAGAGUUCCAUAUUUUU
rnacentral:snRNA from 1 species